rnacentral:tRNA from 1 species
GGUUUGUGGCUCAGGGGUAGAGAGCUUGCCUCAAAUGUGUGAGGCACUGUGUUCAAUCCUCAGCACCA